rnacentral:lncRNA from 1 species
AGCAAUAAACCAGGAAUGAGGGGAGCCCUGGUGACAAAGAGGACACUGGAUUCUCUCUGUGGUCAAGGAGAGAUGGCAGUGAGAGGGGUAAAUUCACUCAGUUACCCAACUUCCUCUUAGGAGAGUGGCAAGGGUGACAAGCCUCACCUGGCUGAGAGUGAGGUUUGUUUGGGCCCCAUUGUCAUAGCAACAAGGGAAUGUUUGGUAACAGAGCCAGUGACUUCACAGAAGCUGGUCUUAAUUCCACAUUUCUGAAGCUCAGGGAAGAGCAGAGCCAGCCAGGAGAGAAUGUGGAGGCAGAGGAAGACAAUAGUUCCCUUGGAAGAGCUGUGACUACUAGAAAAGUACUGUCCUGGUGUUCAGGAUCACUGUAUUGCCACUAAUGGAGAAGUCCAUUACCUUCGAUUGUACCACAGUGUAUCAGUCUCUGUGUAACUAUGGGAGUGGAAACACCGAGGAAAAGCAACUGCCUAAAUACAGUGGUUGAGAGGACAUGACAGAGGAGAGACUCUAAAUGAACACUCUAAUGCAAAUAUUAUCAACAAUGCAAUGCGUUUAAAUCAAGAAAACAUCUAAUGCCCAGUGGAUUUACGCAUCGGCUAUGGGGGUUGGGGGAGGAAAAGAAAAUGAUCUAUGUCUUUAACGAAUAAUGCUUGGAAAUGAUCAAAUAAAAUAUAUUUUAAAAAAAAGAAAAUGAUUUUU